GUGCUCGCUUCAACAGCACGUAUACUAAAAUGGGAACGAUGCAGAGAAGAUUAGCACGGCCCCUUGUGCAAGGUUGACGUGGAAAUGUGUGAAGCUUCCAUAUUUGG
ensembl:snRNA U6 U6 spliceosomal RNA